rnacentral:rRNA from 1 species
UACAGAGGUGGCAAGCGUUGUUCGGAAUUACUGGGCGUAAAGCGCACGUAGGCGGCUUGUCGCGUCGACUGUGAAAACCCGCGGCUCAACUGCGGGCCUGCAGCCGAUACGGGCAGGCUAGAGUUCGGUAGGGGAGACUGGAAUUCCUGGUGUAGCGGUGAAAUGCGUAGAUAUUGGGAAGAACACCUGAGGCGAAGGCGGGUUGCUGGGCCGACACUGACGCUGAGGCGCGAAAGCCAGGGGAGCAAACGGG